AUGGACAAGGUGUUCGAUAGAAACAAACGGAAGCUCAGAGGGCAGAACUACGAACCAUGGAGUCCCUGCUACAGCUCCGGGCAGCAUCAGCCUAGUUGGACCCUAGAAUCUCGGGGAGCCGGUGAUCUUCUUCCACUCUCUAGCCUUCAAAGGGGCCUGUUGAUCGUAGGGAUCGUCCUGUCCCAUCACAGUAUAUUGCACGUGUGCAGUUUCAGUUAAAAAAGGCCAAGAGAAUGAUCUCACGAAGCUUGCCAACAGCCAGUCCUUGGGAUAGUGGACCACUUCUGGAUUCCAGGUAGGAAGAAAUGCCCUCUUCCCAUCUCCCUGCCAUUCCUGAUGUCAUACAGGCCCCAGAGCACCUCUGCUAAUGCCUGGCAUCUUAAACACACUAUAUGAGAAAGUAGCUCCCUCCAUCUCUGUCUUGCCCAGAAUUUCCAAGAAUCUUCCAUGAAAACAGCUGGCUCACCUUAUUGGCUUGUGUCUUCUGAUAUAGAUGCUGAAACUCAGUCCAAAGGGAGAAGGGAACAUAUGCCAUGGGUCUCUUCUCCUCUACUGUCCUGUUCCUCGUCCCCAGAGACUCCCUUUCACUAAUUCUUCCCUCUUCCUGGUUGCAAACAGAUGUGGUACUUAGCAGGGCGGGUUGUUCCUACUAGGAGAACUGAUCCUGCAGGCCAGCCAGCCACAAUGCCUUGAAGCGUG
rnacentral:lncRNA from 12 species